CAGGGAAUCUUGCACAAUGGGCGAAAGCCUGAUGCAGCGACGCCGCGUGGGGGAUGAAGGCCUUAGGGUCGUAAACCCCUUUCAGCAGGGACGAAAAUGACGGUACCUGCAGAAGAAGCCCCGGCCAACUACGUGCCAGCAGCCGCGGUAAGACGUAGGGGGCGAGCGUUGUCCGGAUUUAUUGGGCGUAAAGAGCUCGUAGGCGGUUGCGUAAGUCGGAUGUGAAAACUCAGGGCUCAACCCUGAGACGCCAUCCGAUACUGCGCUGACUUGAAUCCAGUAGGGGAGUGUGGAAUUCCUGGUGUAGCGGUGAAAUGCGCAGAUAUCAGGAGGAACACCCAUGGCGAAGGCAGCACUCUGGGCUGGUAUUGACGCUGAGGAGCGAAAGCAUGGGUAGCGAACAGGAUUAGAUACCCAAGUAGUCCCUGAGCGGGCUGGCAAGGCGCAU
rnacentral:rRNA from 1 species